CCUACGGGAGGCAGCAGUGGGGAAUAUUGCACAAUGGGGGAAACCCUGAUGCAGCGACGCCGCGUGAGUGAAGAAGUAAUUCGUUAUGUAAAGCUCUAUCAGCAGGGAAGAAAAUGACGGUACCUGAGUAAGAAGCCCCGUCUAACUACGUGCCAGAAGCCGCGGUAAUACGUAGGUGGCAAGCGUUGUCCGGAAUUACUGGGUGUAAAGGGAGCGCAGUCGGGUAGCCAAGUCAGCAGUGAAAACUAUGGGCUUAACUUGUAGACUGCAGUUGAAACUGGUUGUCUUGAGUGAAGUAGAGGUUGGCGGAAUUCCGGGUGUAGCGGUGAAAUGCGUAGAUAUUGGGAGGAACACCGAUGGCGAAGGCGGCCUACUGGGCUUUAACUGACGCUGAGGCUCGAAAGUGUGGGGAGCGAACAGGAUUAGAUACCCUAGUAGUC
rnacentral:rRNA from 1 species